CUUAAAGGUUCAGAAGGUGUUGCAAGAGAUAUUUCCAAGCCUGGUUCGACUGAAACAGUUAUGAUCACAGUGAGCUCACCCAGUACAGUGACUGCGGAAGUAGAUGAAAGUCUCCAGAAAUUACGCCAGGCACUGAAUAGUGGCAACAUUCAGUCUAUUGCCAAGGCAGCAUUUUCUUGCCCUUCACUGAAGGACCAAUUGGUAGAGGGUGUGGUGAAAAUUCUUGACGACGAAUGUUCCACUCUAUGUCGUAACUCUGGGGAGUUUGUCUCUCUAUUUCACCGGGUUCCAAUUGACAAUGUGGAAGCGUUAUCGUGGAAACAGGCUGUGUCUGAACUACAGCGAAAGUCUCCGAUUCUAUUUAGGCUUAUCCAGACGAUCGUAGGACGUUCAGAUCAUAGGAACUUGCAUAAACGCGGAGAGAGUCACUACCCUGGGAUGUGUAUGGCCACAGCAAUUCUCUUGAAAGAGCGUAACACAAGAAUGUGUGGUAUUCAGUCGUUUCUGUCUCUCGUACUCUUCAACUGUAGAGUAAACAAAAAGGUUUGUACAUGUACAUGUACAUGUAUGAUGUGUGUCCACUACGUAUUUUCAGAUACAGGUAUAAUUAUUAUAUCACAGAGAGGGAUUGGAAACGGAAGUUACCUUGCCACGUUAGGCCAGGGUUUAAUCGAGGCUACAAAAUGUAUGUAUGAUUGUAACGUUAGUAAAAUCUAGACUAGAUAGUGCCUGCAGUAUACUCCCAACUGUCACCUGAGGAACGUAUGGAUUGACACAUGCAGUACACUGAUAAUUAAGUAUUACCAUUAUAUAGCUAGAAGCAUACUCAUAAAGAUCUCAGAGCAUGACACUCUUUGUAGCUAUUUUGAAAAACGUAUUUUUUCCAAAGGAUGCUCACCAUUAUAGAGGGCAUGAGAAUGCAUGUUGUUUUAGGGGGGCUUUGAAUGCAUUAAUUGCAGUGGUCUUAAUUCCAGAAACAUCGUUUCCCCAAGUGCUGCACAACCGUACACAGAUUUAAAAUUAAUGUAACGCGAUGCUACCUCCGUUUCCAAUCCAUCUCCUCUUAUAUAAUUAUGAUUACAUUGAAUUACUCACAGGUAUACUCCAGGCUGAAUCAUCUUAGUGUCACUAUCAGUUACUGUGCCGUGUUGAAGUUGGUCACGAAAAUCAGCAAGCUGUACCAACGUCCUAUCGAUGCCUGGAUUGAUGAGGGUGCAUGUUUCAAGUUCGUGGGGGACAACGUUGCUAAAACAAAGGGCGUUAGAGACAUACGUAGUGACCAUCAUGGUGAGCUAGUGCAAAUGUACAGUUUGUUGGCAAAGGACCAUCUCCAGUCUCAACCUUUUCCCCCCUAACCUGGGUUCCCUAAAAAUAACUCACUUCCUUCCUACAAAGGCCGACAUUGAGGGCAUCCAAGAAAUUUGGUCGUUCUAGUCGGUCGAAUACUGUGCGAGUACAUCAAGCCCCUCCAGCGGUACAAACGGUGUGUUGUCAGUCACAUUAAGCACCCCCACAGCACAGAGAUGGCCAAAAAAUCUGAGGUUGUAGUCCUUGAUGUUCUACACAAGAAUGAGGCAAAGGCCGCAGACAUGAUAGACAUAAUGAUCGAGAAACAUUCAUACUUGAAAGAUUCUAUUGAACUUACUGUUAUGUCAGGUGGCGAUCAGAUGACUUGUGAAAGACAGCGAUGUAGCAAAAAACAUAUGCGAGAUGCGGACACUCGCAGUGGACAAUUGGAGCAGUUAGAGCCUUGUAUAGAGGACUGGCACUGCCUUAUGAGUAUUCUGGGGGUAGGUGAAGCACUCACUUGGACUUCUUAUCGACCCCUUUGUUUCCACUGAGUAUACCAGCAGGAACACCACGAUCAUGUAGACUAGUCACUUGAUCUACCAUUAGAGACACUAGGGGACAAUACUACGCUCACUAGGAGGAGAACUAAUUCUAUCCAGCUUCUUGUCGAAUUAAAAAGGCAAAGUUUGGUAGCAGAUAGACUUUCAUAUCCAGUAGGAACCCACAGGAAAACAUCAUUCCCUUCGUACAGCAUCCGUAGAGUGUCAAGCUGUUUAUCCCUCAGAACUAAAUGACUUCUCUUCACACAAGAAAGGGCAUAAGCCAGAGCGGAAGAGAACUCAGUGUCAGUCGAGCUAGUCAUCUUUGCUAUAUGUAAAGUGUGUAACACGGACCACUAAAAUUAGAAUACAAAAUAGUAUACGUGUUUAUUUUACUGACAGUAUCCACAAAUACACGGAUUACCCCCUUUUUGGGGUAAUGUAAGCGCAUGCGCAUACAAGGUAUACCAGGCCGCUUCUAAAGCGGCCUUGAAUCGAGGCUAGGCUAAGCAAUACUUCUGACAUGCCAAAAUUGACAGAUCCCUUCAUGUCAUCAGAAGGAAUGUUUUAGUCCAAGUCAUAAUAAGAGGAGAAGAAGAUUGCCCUGGAACAAUCACACUAUCCAAACUAGAAGGGCAAGGGCAACCAAUUUUAUCCUCGGAUAAUUACAGUAGAACUACAGCAGAACUACAGACUACAAGACUCGCCUUAUCAAACUCAAUGUGCUCCCACUCUCAAGACCUCACGUUCGACCCAGUCGAGUGUUUUAAAUUAGACAAUGUAGACCUGAGUGCUUAUCUGCAGGUAUUAUUUCCGUAUCCACAAUAGAGCUGGUUCUACUGCCAGAAAGUUUCCAAAAGGAGCAGAACCUCUAAUACUACUACAAUAGGAUUACACGACUAUGGAAUUGACAGGACCCUAUCGAUCUUCAAUCUAUUACAUGUAUUGAACUAAGGGAAAAUUCGACAUUGGUGCUCGUGCCCCUGUGAAAACUGUCUCAUGCACACAAAUUAGUAUAGUUUAGUCACUCUGUCUGUACUCAUGAGAUCACAACCUUGCAACAUUGUCAUUUUACACUG